rnacentral:misc_RNA from 1 species
UUAUUAUUAUUAUUAUUAUUUUCAUUUUCAUUUGUUUCCACUACUAGUUAGAGUUAAGUGACAUCAUCAGCCAUUGGCUCUAGCAAUGAUAGUAAGCUUAUAAAUUUUCUUCUCUGAGUUAUGGUCUAAAAUUGGGGUAGAGGUUAUUUGUGCUUGCAAGGUAUUAUAUGUGUGUACAGAAAGUAGCAAAUAAAAGAAGAAAAAUCCAAAUAGACAACUAAUUAGCCAAACUGUUUCCCUGAAUUUGUAGCUCUGAGACAUUCCAACCUUUUAGCUCUCUUUGACUUCGAGGAUGAAAUAGCUCCCUUGUUGACAUUGUAACUAGCAUGGGACCAAACUAAUAGGCAAUAAUAAGCAUUAAAUUCAGAGGAAGAUGCAUCAAUUAAACAGAGUUGAAAUUAUAUCCUAAAACAUACUUAAGUGAAUGCAGUCUGACAGCUGCUUUAUCUUGAUCCUGCUUUUGUUUGAUU